UGGCCGCUUCUGAAGCAGAAUUGCUCCGAU
rnacentral:sRNA from 1 species